rnacentral:tRNA from 1 species
GGAAUAUAGCUCAGUUGGUAGAAUGCUUGUCUGUAUGCACAAAGCCCUGGGUUCAAUCCCCAGCACCA